rnacentral:rRNA from 1 species
GUGUCAGCCGCCGCGGUAAUACGGAGGGGGCGAGCGUUGCUCGGAAUUACUGGGCGUAAAGGGCGCGUAGGCGGCCAUGUCAGUUGGGAGUGAAAGCCCCGGGCUCAACCUGGGAACUGCUCUCAAUACUGCGUGGCUUGAGAACGGGAGAGGGUAGUGGAAUUCCCAGUGUAGAGGUGAAAUUCGUAGAUAUUGGGAAGAACACCAGUGGCGAAGGCGGCUGCCUGGCCCGUUUCUGACGCUGAGGCGCGAAAGCGUGGGGAGCAAACAGGAUUAGAUACCCUGGUAGUCCACGCCGUAAACGAUGAGUGCUAGACGUCGGGGGACGUGUCCUUCGGUGUCGCCGCUAACGCAUUAAGCACUCCGCCUGGGGAGUAUGGCCGCAAGGUUAAAACUUAAAGGAAUUGACGGGG